UCAGGAUCCCGUGCCCAGGAGGAGCCAGAAGGGCGGGGGGGGGAGGCUGCAGCUUCCCAGGGCUCGCGGGGGACCGGCCGGGGGGGUCGCGCUGCCUCCCGCCCGCCCCCCGGGGCUGAGUCCCUGCCGAGCGCCCGGGGGGAGUCGCCUCCCCCCGGGAUUUCGCCAGCUUUUCAGAGUUUUAGGGGAGGGAUGUUACUCUCAACUCAGCCGGGAGGUUUCAUUCAUAAAACUAAGACAGAAAAAAACCCAAACAACCGCGCCCCCCCCCCCCCCCCCCCCCCGAAGCCAAGCUGUUGGGGGGUUAUCCCGGAGCCGACAGCAGGCUCCAGCAAACAUCCCCUCAUUUUUUCGGCGGGGGAGGAGAGCGCGCAGGGAUGCGCAGGGAUGCGGCGCGCCGGCAGCGCACACCCGCUCCGCGCUGGCGCACGGGGGGAUCUCUGGAAAUCAAGCCGUGAUGGUGUGGUGCUUUGCCUUUUCGGUUUGGGGUUGGGUAGUUUUUUGGGUUUUUUUUCUUUUUUUUCUUCUUCUUUCCGUGUAGGAGCAGCGGAUAUUUAGGAGCUGAACGGCGGCAAGGAGGGGAAAAGAAAAAGGAAAAAAAAAAAAAAAAGCCAACCUCCUCUCUAGAUCUGUCAGAGAGCAGACGGUAAAAACAUCAGAUUUUCGCAGAGUGGAGCUGUGUGCAUUUCUGUUUCAUUUUUUGGAGCAAAGAAAAAAAAAGGAGAGAGAAAAAAAAAACCCCAAACUCUACAGUCGGCUUUUGAGGGUGAGAUGAAUUAUUCUGCAUGUCCAGGUGCCUACUUUUGUUUGGGAUGAGGCGUGCGAGUGUGUGAGGUCCCUGCUUGGAAGUCUUCCCACCGGGGGACUCCAUUCUCCUUAGCAGCUCUGUCCCAGGCUUAUAUUCCUAUCAAGGCAAAGGAUUGUUUUCUUCCCAACUGGGUGAACACUUCCCUUUUGCAGGAGCUGAAAUCCCAUCCUGGAUAAAAAGCCUCCUGUCCUUUCUCUCCUGAGUCACUCAGGUUCAGUGAAACAUUGCGGCUUACAUCAGCCAAAGCCAUUGAUUGGGGAGGGAAGGGGCUGACACGGUGGUGCUGGAAGCCGCAGUGCAGAAGUCCCGCACUGUGUAAGGAGCCGGUCCAACGACCAAAUGUUGUGGAGGACGAGAUGGCCUUUGCUGCUUUUUUUCCACUUGGCUAUUGCUCAUGUUUUGUAUACAAAGUCAAGGCCAAAACAUACAAGAAGGAACUUUGGCUAAAUGAGGUUUGUGCAUCAGGCCAAAUGGCCACCAUGGGUUUCUGGCUAUAUUCAGUGUAUGGUUUGUACGUGUUGCAAAGAAGAGAGUUUUGAUGUCGCUGCUUGCUUUUAAUGUGAGCAGACAAGUGAAGGGGUAUGAAGGAGACCUGCUACUUCAAGCCUGGCGCUGUUUGCACAAGGCUGACGUCAUAACUCUUGGCUGAGAUGACGGUGAAAGCGGUGUGCGAUGGCUUCUUUGUCAGCUUUUAAGGGAAACAUCUGCUCUGGGUCUUAUGGACAAAAUCCAAGGUGAAAAUUUCUGUCAAAGCAAAAUGAGAAUACGUAUGAGGGUCCUGAGGGCAAGCUGUGAGCCCCUCUGUAGUUUAGUUCUUGGUGCCUCAGUAGCUGUGGUGCAGUGUUAGCAGAGUGAACAGCCUGUGUUGGUAUCGCCGGUGGAGAUCAAGACCUCCCCGUCCUUGCCGUCAGACACCUCUGUGACCAGGACAAGACUGUCCUGCUUCAAAACUCUCACUCCUUAUGCCUUGGGUAGUCGUGCCUGAAGAUCUGCCUUGUGCGAAAGGAAGGGCAAGGCUGGAUGUUCAGCCCAAAAACCAACCAAAAUUAGUUGAAGUCUCCUUGCAGGCGGACAGUGGCUUUCACCUCAUCAGUAAGGAGGUGUGAGAGAGGAGGUGGAACAGGGGAAGCUGUCAGAGAUGAGUUUGUGGAGAGGGACUCAAGAAAAGUGACACCAAAGAGGUGCCACAAUGCACUGAAAACACUAUUAGAGAUGUUCCCACUCAGUGGCUCCCAGGCCAAACACAGUCCCAACUUGCUAAGCUGAAGGAGGAGGUGGUUGGUUUUUUGUCUGGCAGUUUCUGCUGCAGAUGUGGUAUCUGGCCUGGCACCAGACCAGGCAUGCAUCUGCCCAUCUUUGUCAGCAAUGUGAACGAUGUGGUCACGUGAAAUGAAACAAGUUUGGAGGCUUUUUUGCCAAGCAGAAAAAAAUCCAUCUGAAUAUCAAGAUGGGGAGGCUGUUAGACCUAGGUGGGUCUCUGUCCCACUCUCUCCUACCGCUCCACUCACAGCCUUUCAGUCACCACUCCUCUCGGCCUUCACAGUGGGGAGAUCUUCUCCAGAAACCCAACCCACCUUGGUGUCAAGGCUUCCAGGGAUGUCAGAUUAUAUCCUCGCUGUCCUUUCUUUGAAACACAGCAUCGACCAUUGGUCAACCACCCAAAAAGUAGGGAAAACAGCUGCCCUUUUUUCUAAGCUGUCUUUUGUUUGCUGGUCCUUGCAUUGACCUUCUCCAUAAGCAUUUAGUUCUCGAGGAACAGGACUGUCCUGCAAGUAAGUGGCAGGACAAGGAAAAUACACUCAUUUUUCUCAUACAGCCUUAGUGAACAACCAGUGAAUCCUCAUGAAGAGCUGGAAGCGAGAGUCUAAACUGUUAAAACCCUUCCUAGAACAAUAUUUUGGUUUUCAGUACUUUUCUGUUUUCUUUUGAUUCCUUCUAAAUGCUGCUUCCCUGCCUCCAUGUGAUAGGAAAUCAGCCUAAGCAAAAAUAUUACUCUUGGUCAAAAAAAAUUUUUUUAUAUAUAGGGGAAAUCUAAAAAUAAAUUUUAAAAGUAGCUUACCUUUCUCCGCAAAGCAUUAUUUUCUCUCUAGGUAGGAGCGUGCAAGACUGCUUGUGAUCUGUAGUCAGGGGUGGACUAAGGAGACUGUACACCUCCUGUAACACUCUGUGGUAAUGGUUUAGAAGGUGCCAAAGCAGCCAUGUCCACCUUCUUUCUGGCCUGUGUCCCUUCCUGAGCUAUUAUCCAGGGACUACAAACAUGUUAAAAGAUUUACGUGCUGUAUUCAGGAGGAUCAUGAGAUGGGACAAAAUUCUGAUGAACCUGCAAUUCAUAGGAUGAGGCACCUAUGUUGCCUUCCACCUGCCACCUUUAUUCUCAGUGGUAGCUCCUUCCAGCCUGAGACCUGGAAUAUCUCCAGUCAGCAGGGUACCUCCGCCUGGGUCCAUGGAAGCUGGGCAGACCUGGGAGGUGGUGCAUGCAGCCAUGGGCAGCUGGAGGGGUGACAGAGCAGGUUAUGGGUCAUGCCUUGGGGUCCUGGUCUGGGUAGCUGGCAGUGAGCCAUCUCCAUGGGGCUGGGUGCCCUGCAUGAGGAGAUGCAGCAAGUGUAGCAAUGGGAGGAUCACAGGGCUGAAAUUCCGGUUUGGGAGAAGAGGGAUUUGAGGCAUGUGGGGCUGAGGGCUUGGGUUAAGGGAGACAAAGGAGUGCUGGAGGUGAAGAAGAGAUCUCCCUCACAAGUCAUUUGAGGCAUUUGCUAUCUUAGGCAGGCCAGGUGAAAAACAGUUGGGCUAGGAAAGAAACCAGCAGCAGGGACAGUAGCCAAUGCCUUCAGGCAGUGGCCUUCAGCUGAAGCAAAGCUGUCCUCUUCUACUUUUCAUUUCGAAACAGGUUUGAUUCAGUCCUUUUUGAGCUUUUUCAAGUCCUUCCAUCAAACAGGACUGAAAGUGUCUGGGGAGGUCAUGGACCAUCUUCCAAGCAAUGGGCUGGGCCUCCAUUUAGUUGCAUUUUUGGAAAGACGAGGGGAUAUGGAUGACUGUCUCCCAGCCUCUCUUCAUCCAGGCAGCCCUGAAAAUGCCAGCCUUUGUUGGACUCCUGAUGAGCAGGUGGGACAGACAGGCUCUGUGAAGCAUCCUGGGCUCUUCUCUCACUCUCCUUCUGUUGUUCUUCUUGCUGUAGGCCUGAUCUGUGCUGAUGCUAUGAGCCUGGGUGGAGGUGGGCAGGCUGGUGAUCCAAGUCUGGGCUCUGGAGCAGGGCUAGGACAGGGAAACACAGCUCCAGCUUGUAGUUGUUGAACCCUCAGUUGUCAUGCUGGGCAGAAGUCAUCAGCAUCCAGCACUGCCUGCUCUGCAGCUUUGUGGGUCUCCAGGGUGCCCUCAUUCAUCCUCCUGUUGUGGGGAGACACUGCUGAGUAGGUGAGCACAAGAAGGGAACAGGGUGAGCAUUGCAGCUCCUCUCUUUACCAGGUGAGGUUUUCCCUUGCCGGCGACCCAUUUACCACCAGGGCUUUGUCUUCUUUGCAGAGCAGCAACUGAUGCCACUUCUGCCUUGUCCUCAUUUUCUUCUUUCCUGGGGAGGGUCUUCAUUGAUUGACCAGCUCCAUCUUCCAAAACAGCAACGUGAGUUAGAGGUUUUAUGCUACAUUUCACAUGUAGUUACCCUGCCCGAUGCUCAUCACACUUUAGCUAUUUCAGUGAUUUCUGCACACCACUGAACAAUCUCAUUCCCACCCUGAGGGAGAAGCGUCUUGAGCCUGCGUACUUUUCUCCAUAUGCACCAGGUCUUCUAUCACUCUUUAAAAAAAACUGUUUUCCCCUCUCCCCCACCUCUGCUGCAUGUGUGACAGGCUGGAUGUCUGUGGGUUUGAAUCAGAUUAUCCUUUUCCUGGGUUGCCAUCCAACCUACAGAACCAAGAGCAAACUCCCAUUCAGAGGUGAGCAAGAAAACCCCUCUGAAACUGCCAGGGGCUGAAACAAUUUGGCAAGCUUUGCAGAAGAAAAUUGCCAGCAUGGAACGAGGAGGUGGGAGCAUUACUUCAACAGAAGAAGCUCUGAUUAGCAGAUUAUCGCUUAAGUGAUGUUGAUCCCAGCCACGCUGCCUUCCAAAUGAGCCCUUUCGCAGCUGCCAGCUGCACCAUGGAGUCACGCAGGCCAAUAAGCGGGCCAGAUCCCUUGCUGGCAUGGGUCAAGGCAGCUUUGAUGGACCGUCAUGGAGUUAAAACAGCUGGAGAAGUCUGGCUAUAAUGGGGAGUCUGACUCGCUUCUCAGACUUGUUCCAGGGCUUGUGGAUGAGAGAGCCUGGAGGAGAGCUGCCUGCGUCCUGCAGGAUGGGACAGCUUCUCCCACUCCAGCAUCAGCAAAACCACAGCACACCACAGCUGCAGGGACUCUCUCUAGACUUCAAUUGUGUCCAAUUGCGACUGGACAAGGAGUUCUUUGACCAGUCCGAAUCCAGCUCCUGCUCUCUGGGACAGGUAACCUCAGCAUUGUGUCUGCUCUCACAGAGCCUGGACAAGGUCUUGCCAGGUGUCCGGAGAGUCACGGAGCUUGUUUAUGUCACUUGCCUCUGCUAUCCAGGCCUGAAGCAUCACCCCUGAUUAUCACAGCACUGACCCCCACCCCAUCCUGAGGUGUGAGAAGAGCAUCUAACUGAGAAGCAGGAGUUACCUCUUGAUUUGGAGGCUUGAGUGUCUGGAAAUCUGCUGCUUCUCAUACUUGGCUUGCUGCUAAAAAAGGUUCAGCUGCAUAUUGGUGUACAACUCAUGUGGCUUUUGUUUUCAGCUCUUGAACUUCCUUACAGCUUUCUUUCACAAACAGAGAAAUGGCUUGGCUGGUCUUUCAGUCUUUACAAAGUCUCCUUUAUCAAAGUGGAUGGCUUUAAAGAAGUCUUCAAUCUCUGAUUGAAGCUUCCAGCCUGCAUCAGGCAAAACUGGAAAAAGAAAAAAACUAACGCACAUAUAUUUUCAGUGUCAAUGACUGCAGCCUCAAUGAAGUAUCCAAUUAUUUUUAGCAACAUAUGAUUAUGGGCUAUUUUCCUACUGUCCUGUAACACAGACUCUGAAAGAAAGCAUCCUGGGGUACAGCAAUGAAAUAAUACCAGCACUUACACACUAGAAGAAACACAGUAAUACCCAAGCUGGUCUUGCAGGAGUGGGGCUAAUAUCCAUCUUUCAUUAUGACCAGUUAGUGCUUUAUAUAACUAUUAUGUUUUAAAUGGAAAUAAGAAACUAAAGCAUGGAAGAACUGCCACCAGCUACCCAGGAUAGAGUUUUAAACAUGAUUUACACAGUAAAAUCUGUGUAAGUUUCAAUGAGCAGGUGUUCUUUUCUUUGUGUGUGUGGUUGUUUUGUUUUGUUUUGUUUUGUUUUGUUUUGUUUUGUUUUGUUUUGUUUUGUUUUGUUUUGUUUUGUUUUCUUUUCUUUUCUUUUCUUUUCUUUUCUUUCUUUUCUUUUCUUUUUUUUUCUUUUCUUUUCCUGCUGUUGUCCUGAGGACCCAGGCAGAGUAAAACAGGGCUGUAUUUCCCCUUUGACCGUAGGACUGACUUUUUUAGGUUGGACUUGCCAGCAGGCUUGCUGGAAGUCAAAGGUGGUGAUCGGUGAUUUCUGAUCACCUCCUGCUUUGUAUUCCCCAUCUGCACAGUUCCCCAGGAACUGCUGGAGCUUGCCCUGAGUGUUGUCUGGACCAGGCUGACACGUGUCCAUGCUCCCUAUGCCACCAUUGCCUGCAGAGAAUGACAAAUCUGGCUCAGGAAGGAUCCUCCAGCUGGACAAGCUGUACAGCUCAUUGGGACAACCGUGUCCCUGUUCCUGAGCUCUCCUUGUGGUGGUGUCUCUAAGGGUGAGGAAGAAGAAGGGGCUUCUUUGGCUGGCGUCCUUCCCUGAACAUGGUUUCUGCUUGGUGCACUCUUAGUCCUCAGAUUUUCUUUAGCCUUUCGGUCAGUGAAAGAGCAAAUAUCAGCUGGCUCUGGUACAGCAGAAACGGCUUCUGUGAUGCUGCAUGUGAGUGUCCCAUAUCCCACCAUUCAUCCUUAGAAAACUCCCCUCACUUGCCUGGCUUGUACCUCUUCCCCACCAGAUUUCCAGACCUGCAGAAGUCACCACAUUCCCCGUCCCAGCUCUGUCCUUAUUCACACAUCCAGCUGCUAGUGGAAAACCAGUUUUACCUGCCAUGGAAAGCCUUGCAACAGCCGCAGGAGCUUUGGCUCAAAAAUCAAUAGCAAGGCUGGUGCAACAGGGAUGGUCCAGGACUGUAAAUAAGGCAGAGUUUUAGAUCGGCAUGCUCUCCUCUCACCGACCAUCGAUGCACUUGGAAAAACAUGCAAAUAUUUUAACAGAGAAGCCUGGAAGGAGAUGUUCAGAAAACAAGGCUGAAAGCAGUUGCUUGUGGGCUGAAAACCUUUGUUUUUUCCAUUCGUACCCUAUAGACUCGUAAAAGCAAUCCCCUUUUCCCAUGAGUCUCAUGUUUAUCAGAAAAGCUCUAUUUUUUUAAGAAGAUAGGAUGACUGUUUCUCUGAAGUAGUAAAUAUGAGAGGAUCUGUUCAGGGAUAGAGACUUGCUGCCCUUCCUUGGAUGCUGCCAAGUCACUGAGCCUUCUGCACAAAAAUUUUGUGGUUAAAUCAUCAUUCUAUGCAUUUUUUUUCAUCAUAAGAUAACUCUGGUUUUAUUUUCUUAGCUAAUGAAGCCAAAUUAUUCUUUUCCCCUGCAAGAUUAAUGCAAUGAACAAUGUCCUCUUUCGUCUUUGUUAGAAGCUACCCCAAACUUUGCCAUUCCUCCUGUUUUACUCCUAAAUAAAAAGGAAGAAACUUGGAAAAUGGCAGGGGCAAAAGAUGAACAACAACAUUACCACCUCUCUCAGGCAGGGCUAGGGUCAUAAGGAAGCUGGCUGGAAGCUGGCAUGUUGCAGGGAGGGACCAGAAUAACCCAUCUGCUCCCCUCCCACCCCAAUUCCAAGGGAAAGCAUUCAGAAAGCCAGCACCUGGCCGCCUUGCUUCUGCCCACUGCUGGAAGAUGACAGGAGAAAAAGAUGCACUUUGCUUAAGAAAGUGGCUUCUGGGAUCUGCCUGCUCUAUCUGCUAGCACUGCUGGUGUCCAAGGCACCCCAGGUGUAACGGGGCGCCUGUGCUUAACCAAGUGACUCAAGACCCUAAAGUUAAAUGAAAUGGCUUCUGUCUUUAAAAUCAGGAAAGGUGGACCUGAACCCUACAGACUAAGGAAGGUCUGCAAUUUAUUCUCUCUCCAGUUCUGAUUUUUACAUGUAAAAUGGGAGUUUUUAAUAUAGAAAAAAUUUUGAAAUUUAUAAAUAUAUAAAAUGUAUUUGAAUAUCUAAAAUGAUAUACAUACAUAAAUUGAAAUGUAAUGAAAUGAGAUACAUUAAAACAGAAAAUAAAAACUAUAAGAACACAGUAACUGUGAUUUCAGCUCUGCUCCCCCUCCUCUUCAUUUGCUCAUCUCUCUUGAGAAGUAGGUCUAAACGUGCAUCGUCAACUGAUGAAGAAGCAUAAUUUCUCCAGGCCAAGUGCAAUGACCAGAAUAUGACAUUGCUGCUGAAAACAAAAAGCACCUGCCCCUCAUUGAGAAAUAAUUGAUUAUGACCUAGAAGUGAUCACUAGGAUUGAUAUCUUAAAUUUCUCCUCUCACUGUGUAAGUGGGCCAUGUAAUGUCCAGGGGAAGGGCACCACGUCACCGGGAAGAGCUGGGGCGCUGCAGAGAGGGACGUGCCUUGGAGCAGCAUUGCUUUCAAACCUGCUUCUGCUCAUUUUCUUUCCCUCUGCCGUUGCUCUUCACCACAUCAUCUCUCUUUCUCCUCGACCUUUCCAGCAGCUCUUGGAAAAGGAAUGUGGGGCCACAGUGCUGAAGAAAGAUGUUCCAGCAGACUGGGAGACAGUAGCAGCUUCCUCUUCAUUUACAAGGAAAUAAUAACUGACUUCUCCAACACUCUGUGAUGGACUCAGAGAAGGACAUUUGCAGCAGGAAGGCGAUGCCUACAGGUCAAAAUCAGUAAUGGAAAAUGCAAAGACAAAGCACAGAGCAAGAGGGAAAAAGAGACAUCCAACAUCUUGACUUUGAAACAAGACAAUAUGGAAAGAAAAACAGUAAUGAUCUCAUUUAACAGCCUGGGAAUCCGCUAAACAUCACAUAGAUACACCAGCGUAAAGGACUGGGUCUGUCUCACAGGUCUUUUUCUUUGCCUUUCCCUUUCCCUUUCCUUUCCCUUUUCUUUCUUUAUCCCAUUCCCCUUCUCUCUCCAAUACACCCUUCUGUUCCCCUUCCCGUCUUGUAUUAAUUGUAAUAAUAUUGUAAUAAUGUACAUUAUUAUGUAUUUUCACUGAGAUCGCAUCGGCGUGUCUCCCUUUGUUCUCAGUUCUCAGUUGGCACACAAGGAGAACCUGCAAUAUCUAAGACACCAGCUUUAUUUCUUCCCAUAAUAUAUGGCAGAGGAAUCCUGUGUGCACUUAGCAAGGUAUCCCUGGAAGACUGAUGUUUGUAAUUAGAAUCAAAAAUAUUUAAAGCCCAGACCCUUCCUCCUUCCUCUGGAAGCUCAUCCUAGUUCUCCCACAAUGUAAAAAAAUCAGGUUUUUUCUUGCAUCUAGUUUUUAAGCUCAUCUUUCCUCCAGACCUUUUCAGUUCCUGGUCAAGACUGCUAUAUCAAAAUAAACUUGUUUUUUUCAUGGAGGACCAGACAGUGGAG